UUUGUUUCAACAAUUUUGUUGUUGUUCUCAUCUGUUGUCUGUUUAGAAAUUCACACUCUUGUUGCAGUGGUGAUCUUUAUUUAGUCUUUUGGAAGAGACAGUAUUUACCUCAUCAGGAACUGUGAAGGAACCUCUUCCCUGCAAUGAAGAGAACAGGGAAACGGCUGCAUGUGAAGGUCUGUGCAAGCAAGCCUUUGAAGACUAGAGAGCACACUGUCCCUUCAAAUGAGACCAACUCUUCCCCUCUGAAGAAAAAGCCAUGCCACCUGAAACACCCAUCAUUUCACUAAGGCCAUUAGCGCUCACUCUUGUUGGAUGCAUCGUGACCGCUGGAUGGUAAGCACUUCUUAACGAUGCUCACAGAGCCUUUUCCCUAGCUGAAGGCUGUCGAGCUGGUAAAUGGCUUUCCUCCAUCUUCCUCAACCGGAGCUUCUGCCUGCAGUCCAUCCUCUGUGUCACUUUCAGAACUGGUGAUAAAAUAAGGUGUUCUGAUCAAGACAAUGGCCCCCACUCCGUUGGCUGCAAUAACAGUAGACUCACCUUUGCCGCCACCAGCACUUCUAUCUGUGUGGGCAUCCGGUUUCAUCCUGGCUGAGUUUCGAGGAGGAAGUGCUCGCUGGACCAGGACUGUCUGUGCCUCAUCCACAUCUGUUUAU